GAAGCCGGAAUUGCUAGUAAUGGCAGGUCAGCAUACUGCCGUGAAUACGUUCCCGGGCCUUGUACACACCGCCCGUCACACCAUGAGAGUUGGGAAUACCCGAAGCCUGUGAGCUAACUAUAUGAGGCAGCAGUCGAAGGUAGAAUCAAUGAUUGGGGUGAAGUCGUAACAAGGUAUC
rnacentral:rRNA from 1 species